rnacentral:rRNA from 1 species
UACAGGGGGUGCAACCGUUGCUCGGAAUUAUUGGGCGUAAAGCGCGCGUAGGCGGCUACCUAAGUCGGAUGUGAAAGCCCCUGGCUCAACUGGGGAAGUGCACCCGAAACUGAGUAGCUAGAGUGCAAAAGAGGGUCGCGGAAUUCCCGGUGUAGAGGUGAAAUUCGUAGAUAUCGGGAGGAACACCGGUGGCGAAGGCGGCGACCUGGGUUGACACUGACGCUGAGGCGCGAAAGCGUGGGGAGCAAACAGG